rnacentral:rRNA from 1 species
CUGCGUACCUUUUGUAUAAUGGGUCAGCGACUUAUAUUCUGUAGCAAGGUUAACCGAAUAGGGGAGCCGAAGGGAAACCGAGUCUUAACUGGGCGUUAAGUUGCAGGGUAUAGACCCGAAACCCGGUGAUCUAGCCAUGGGCAGGUUGAAGGUUGGGUAACACUAACUGGAGGACCGAACCGACUAAUGUUGAAAAAUUAGCGGAUGACUUGUGGCUGGGGGUGAAAGGCCAAUCAAACCGGGAGAUAGCUGGUUCUCCCCGAAAGCUAUUUAGGUAGCGCCUCGUGAAUUCAUCUCCGGGGGUAGAGCACUGUUUCGGCAAGGGGGUCAUCCCGACUUACCAACCCGAUGCAAACUGCGAAUACCGGAGAAUGUUAUCACGGGAGACACACGGCGGGUGCUAACGUCCGUCGUGAAGAGGGAAACAACCCAGACCGCCAGCUAAGGUCCCAAAGUCAUGGUUAAGUGGGAAACGAUGUGGGAAGGCCCAGACAGCCAGGAUGUUGGCUUAGAAGCAGCCAUCAUUUAAAGAAAGCGUAAUAGCUCACUGGUCGAGUCGGCCUGCGCGGAAGAUGUAACGGGGCUAAACCAUGCACCGAAGCUGCGGCAGCGACACUGUGUGUUGUUGGGUAGGGGAGCGUUCUGUAAGCCUGCGAAGGUGUGCUGUGAGGCAUGCUGGAGGUAUCAGAAGUGCGAAUGCUGACAUAAGUAACGAUAAAGCGGGUGAAAAGCCCGCUCGCCGGAAGACCAAGGGUUCCUGUCCAACGUUAAUCGGGGCAGGGUGAGUCGACCCCUAAGGCGAGGCCGAAAGGCGUAGUCGAUGGGAAACAGGUUAAUAUUCCUGUACUUGGUGUUACUGCGAAGGGGGGACGGAGAAGGCUAUGUUGGCCGGGCGACGGUUGUCCCGGUUUAAGCGUGUAGGCUGGUUUUCCAGGCAAAUCCGGAAAAUCAAGGCUGAGGCGUGAUGACGAGGCACUACGGUGCUGAAGCAACAAAUGCCCUGCUUCCAGGAAAAGCCUCUAAGCAUCAGGUAACAUCAAAUCGUACCCCAAACCGACACAGGUGGUCAGGUAGAGAAUACCAAGGCGCUUGAGAGAACUCGGGUGAAGGAACUAGGCAAAAUGGUGCCGUAACUUCGGGAGAAGGCACGCUGAUAUGUAGGUGAAGUCCCUCGCGGAUGGAGCUGAAAUCAGUCGAAGAUACCAGCUGGCUGCAACUGUUUAUUAAAAACACAGCACUGUGCAAACACGAAAGUGGACGUAUACGGUGUGACGCCUGCCCGGUGC